rnacentral:hammerhead_ribozyme from 1 species
GUACUGAUGAAGAGUCCCAAAAUAGGACGAAACAACUGUCCAGUAC